rnacentral:rRNA from 1 species
UACGUAGGGGGCAAGCGUUGUCCGGAUUUAUUGGGCGUAAAGAGCUCGUAGGUGGUUUGUCGCGUUGUUCGUGAAAACCUGAGGCUUAACCUUGGGCGUGCGGGCGAUACGGGCAGGCUGGAGUACUGCAGGGGAGACUGGAAUUCCUGGUGUAGCGGUGGAAUGCGCAGAUAUCAGGAGGAACACCGGUGGCGAAGGCGGGUCUCUGGGCAGUAACUGACGCUGAGGAGCGAAAGCGUGGGGAGCGAACAGG